UACGGAGGGUGCAAGCGUUAUCCGGAUUCACUGGGUUUAAAGGGUGUGUAGGCGGGUAUUUAAGUCAGUGGUGAAAUCUCCAGGCUCAACCUGGAAACUGCCAUUGAUACUAUUUAUCUUGAAUAUUGUUGAGGUAGGCGGAAUAUGUCAUGUAGCGGUGAAGUGCUUAGAUAUGACAUAGAACACCGAUUGCGAAGGCAGCUUGCUAAACAAUUAUUGACGCUGAGGCACGAAAGCGUGGGGAUCAAACAGG
rnacentral:rRNA from 1 species